CACUAAAUAUAGCUCCUUUAUUGAACAAAAAGCACAGUUACACACCUUUCUCUUUUAUUCAUGUCUGCUGCCAUUAUUAUGUUAGUGUAUUUGAGACUGGAACUACACUGUGAUUAGGCAGCAUUUUUGCCAUUAGUGUUCAGGUAGGCUUAACUGACGUCAGACUUUUCCCCAACCUCAUAGGUGAGUUGGAAAAUGAAACUAAUAAAAAAGGUAAUGGACUCUUGCAGAGUUAUGAAAAUUCCUGCACAAAAAGACAGUAAAUCAAAAUAAAUAGAUUGGUAAAGUCCAGCAGUGAACAUUAAGGUUAGAACUGUGAUCUGAAGAACUGAUGAAUUCACUCUUGCUACAAGUAAGCAAUUAAUAUGAAGACCUAAUAAACACUCUUCAUCUUGGGGUUAAGCAGAACAGGCAAUUGAAAAAAAAAUAAAAUAUGUAUUUUUCAUUUUUCCCUAUCCACAUGUCAUCUCUGAAGGGAGAGAAAAUGGAGCUUUCAAGGAUUUUUUUCCCCGGUUCUUCAGUCUGUUUAACUGAAGGUGACUCUGGCUCUGUGCAGUGAGGGCCAUCUCCCACCCCCAAAUCAAUAUUUUAAUAUGUCUUAUCAGAAAGAGAAUGAAUUGUUUACUUUAAAACCUCAGGAUCCCAUAAAGGGCAAGGCAAAGGUGUCCACUGGAAACAGAGGCUUUCUACAGCUGACCACUGACUGCUGUGACUUGUAAAAGAAAACUAACAUCUCCAACGAUCCGAAUACAAUGAUAGUCAUCAAAAUGUCAUACAACUGAACCUCUGUUCUGACACAUCCCAACGACACACCAUGGGAUCAUUUGCUAGUUGUGUGAGAUGAUCUUUGAAGUCUCCAUGCUGAAGUCUGCAUGUGUGCAUAUUACUUCUUCCAUGGACUAACAGUCUACUAGGAGAGCUGUGGAGUGUGACAAUGGUGUUUGUGUCCAAUCUAUCAAACGCCAUUAUCACACUAAAUAGCUACUGGUAGAUCAGACUUCAAUUCAGAAAACUAUAUGAACUGUAGCAAUACAUUCUCCUAUUGUGCUGUGGAAUAAAUAAGCUUUCUACAUGU